rnacentral:snRNA from 2 species
AUCUCUUAGGAGACAUCUGAUAAAAUUGGAAUGAUACAGAGAAGAUUAGCAUAACCCCCUACACAAGGAUGACACGUACAAAUUGAGAAGUGGUUCAAAUUUUU